UUGAGGAUGAGAUGGGCGAAUGCUCAUAUGGUUAUCCAAACCAGCUUGAUGAGCCAAAGCAUAAACUGAGGCACUCUUUGUCGUUAUCGCUGACACUUAUCAUCUUUAUAAGUCUGGUCUAGAACUUAUGUAGGUGAGAUUGUAGAUAAGACUUAGUUAUGUGAUUGUAUAUUCUCUGCACAAUGCUUUAUAUCCAAGAGAGAGCUACACUUUCUACAUUUGGAGGAUUUGGAGGUCCAACAGAAGUUACUUGGGGUAGGAAUUUCUUAAGUUUUAUAUGUCUGAACAUCAGGUCAAGAAAGGUGAAGAUGUGAUCCAAAGCUGGUCACAAGUUUUGACUUUAAUGUUGCCUUUACUUAACUGGGCUUUCAUUGUAUGUUUGAGCAGAUAACGGGAAGGCAAGUUGGUGUAAAGAUAGUGGAGAACAAACGCGCAUUGCCGUUUAGAACAGCUCAGUUUGAGCUCGAGCUCGAGUUCGAGAAAGGAAACUGCAAGGUCACUGAGAUAAUCGAACUGAGCAUUAAGCACACGUUCAAUGCCUAAACGGAACAUUCUACAAUCUAAGUGGGAAGAUCUACCAUGGGGAAUCGGCUUCGGAGAAGUUUCUAAGAUUGAAUGAACCUGUUUUGGUUUCACCAUGAAAAGAAGGAGAAUUUCCUAGAAAUGUCUGUGAAUGUAUGUGAUACCGAAUGAUGUGAUGAUGAGUCUAACUUUUUAUAACAAUAUUGAAUCCUGGUUCGGUA